GUUUGUGGAUGAGUCAGCACCGGGAUCCUACUUGCUACUCUCUCAGUUGUCUCUCCAAAGCCUCCUUCUCCAUUCUUUCCUCAGGGGCCUCCAGGACACUCUGCCUCCACCUUUGCUGGAGACCAGGAAACCCGCGGAGGGGAGCCCCCAACGCGGCCCCAUCAGAAGACACGGGACAAUAUACAGAGAUGGAUGGUCUGUUCCCGGAGUGAUGCUGUGUUCCAUUUGGUCGUCCCCUUCCCAGCUGUGCCUUCAUUGAAGUUGCAGGACAGAGUUCAUGCGCAGAAGCCCUUCCAUCCCCUGGCAGGAUCCAAGGCUGCUGCCACACUUCCUCCUCCUCCUCCUUCUCUCCAUGGUCACUCAGCCGCCUGCCCUCACUGGGGCCCGAGGAGCCUGUCCUUCCCACGGGAGCCUGGGUCACUCCUACCCAGUGGCGGCUACCCAAGGCUUCCGCCCCUCCAUGUUGUGUCCAGAUCGUUGGGUGAGCUAUUACAGAGGUGGGUUCGCUCGUCCUCGGGACCUGGAGUGUGUGUGGCGGCUCCCUGCCCCCUCCCCUGCCACCUCCUUCGCCGUGAGCCCAGCUCUGUGUCUGCUGCAGCCCCGCCCCGGCUCCAUGUGUGGGGCAGAUACACCCACGUCAGAACCCUGGCUACAACAGAUAAUUUAAAACAGCAGAAGAGGGAAAAAAAGUGGUUUUGAUUUGGAUUGAAAAUGUAUUACAUCAUUCUUAUUAUUUUUACUAGUGCUUUGGUGUUUUCAUAACUUUUUGCAUAUGUUGACCUUAAAAUAAAUUCUAGAUCUAGAGUAAACAUCACUUAGAGCAUGUUGCUAGGCUGCCACCCGCCCUUGAUCCUGUGAGGAUAGGGACCCUGAGCUGUCACAUGGGCAUAAUAAUGUCUACACAACAGAGCUGCUUUGAGGAGAUUCUGUGACAACCAUUCAGUUCUCACCAACAGCUAUGGGCACUCUUUCUUCUCAAGUUAAUUUUAAAACCCCGAGUCAAAUGCCAACUUCUGCAUUAUCCUCUUUAUACCUAUCACAGAACAGGUCAUUAUUUCUUUUCUAAUUAAGUGAGAAAGGGAGAAAAGAGAUGUCAUGUUUGGGAAUAAAACAAAAAUCGCUUUAUGAGUUUGGAAGGAAGCAACUAAGUCUUGCUGGUAUUCCAAGUUGCCUCGAGGACAGGAGACAGGUGACCACGGCGUGCCUGCAGGUGGGCUCACUAGCCUGGGACACCUGUGUGAGCCACUCAUACCUGUUAGGCUCCAGAACCAGACCGUCUUCAUGCAGUACCUUCCUGGCCACAUCAAGCCUUUGCCGUGACCUUGUACUUUCUCUUGCCCGGAAUAGACACGUGUUUACGCGCUUUGUUGUUGCUUCUGCCUUAUACCCAUUGCUGCCAACACCAGUGAACUUUGGGCCCGGUAAUUACCUUAACA